UGCAAUUUAUCUUUUAUUUUAAAGAAUUUUAUUUUGAAUUGUUCUUUGAGUAAUUCAUAUUAAGGGUGCAUUGUUAAUCCAAAAGAAAGUUAAAAUUUUAAUUAGGGAAAGUUUUGUAUCUUAAUUCAACCCCUGCUUCUUAAGAUACUGAGGUCACUUGUCUAACAAGUGGUAUCAAAGUUUCAUUCUUGUAUAAAGUUUAGAAACUUCAAGAAUAUGGCCUCAUCAAACU
rnacentral:lncRNA from 1 species